rnacentral:rRNA from 1 species
GAUGAACGCUGGCGGCGUGCCUAAUACAUGCAAGUCGAGCGAACAGAUGAGGAGCUUGCUCCUCUGACGUUAGCGGCGGACGGGUGAGUAACACGUGGAUAACCUACCUAUAAGACUGGGAUAACUACGGGAAACCGGAGCUAAUACCGGAUAAUAUAUUGAACCGCAUGGUUCAAUAGUGAAAGACGGUUUUGCUGUCACUUAUAGAUGGAUCCGCGCCGCAUUAGCUAGUUGGUAAGGUAACGGCUUACCAAGGCAACGAUGCGUAGCCGACCUGAGAGGGUGAUCGGCCACACUGGAACGGAGACACGGUCCAGACUCCUACGGGAGGCAGCAGUAGGGAAUCUUCCGCAAUGGGCGAAAGCCUGACGGAGCAACGCCGCGUGAGUGAUGAAGGUCUUCGGAUCGUAAAACUCUGUUAUUAGGGAAGAACAAAUGUGUAAGUAACUAUGCACGUCUUGACGGUACCUAAUCAGAAAGCCACGGCUAACUACGUG